rnacentral:rRNA from 1 species
AUUAGUUUUUUAAUUGAAGGCUGGAAUGAAUGGUUGGACAAGAAAUAAUCUGUCUUAAUUAAAGGUAUUGAAUUUAACUUUUAAGUGAAAAGGCUUAAAUGAUCUGAAGGGACGAUAAGACCCUAUAAAACUUUAUAUUUAAGGGUGUAAAUUAUUUUUAUUUUUAUGUUAUUAUCUAGAAGUAUUUGGUUGGGGCGACAGGGAUAGAAUGUUUAGUAACUGUCUUUUUUUUUUACAAUAAUGUUUGGUUUAAUGAUCCUAAAAAGGAUUAAAGAUUAAGUUACUUUAGGGAUAACAGCGUAAUUUUCUUUGAGAGUUCUUAUCGACAGGAAAGUUUGCGACCUCGAUGUUGAAUUAAAGGUUCUUU